rnacentral:tRNA from 1 species
GCCUAGAUGACUCAGUUGGUUGAGUAUCUGACUUCGGUUCAGGUCAUGAUCUUGAGGUGCGUGGGUUCGAGCCCUGCAUCAGGCU